rnacentral:rRNA from 1 species
UACGGAGGGUGCAAGCGUUAAUCGGAAUUACUGGGCGUAAAGCGUGCGCAGGCGGUUUGUUAAGUCUGCUGUGAAAUCCCCGAGCUCAACUUGGGAAUUGCAAUGGAUACUGGCAGGCUGGAGUAUGGUAGAGGAAGGUGGAAUUCCCGGUGUAGCAGUGAAAUGCGUAGAGAUCGGGAGGAACACCAGUGGCGAAGGCGGCCUUCUGGACCAAUACUGACGCUCAUGCACGAAAGCGUGGGGAGCAAACAGG